GGGGCCAUGGUGAAAUUGGUAGACACACCGGACUUAAAAUCCGUUUCCGAAAUCGGAGUGUGGGUUCGAGUCCCACUGGCCCUACCA
rnacentral:tRNA from 1 species